UGUUUUUCUUUUGAGAUACGAUAUUUUCGCACAACAAAAUGUGUCAUCAAUCCGACUACACUUUUUCGUCACAUGUCAGAAUUCGGGUUAAUGAUUGGUUAGAAGAUCAGAUAUUUUCGCAUACAGUGGAAGAUACAUAUUUAAAUUCUAAUUAAUCGAUAAAAAGAUUUCCGCAAAAAAUUGAGAUACGAGAUUUUUGCAUAACAGCGACGAUAUAACUAUU
rnacentral:lncRNA from 1 species